GAGUUUGAUCAUGGCUCAGAUUGAACGCUGGCGGCAGGCCUAACACAUGCAAGUCGAACGGUAACAGGAAGCAGCUUGCUGCUUCGCUGACGAGUGGCGGACGGGUGAGUAAUGUCUGGGAAACUGCCUGAUGGAGGGGGAUAACUACUGGAAACGGUAGCUAAUACCGCAUAAUGUCGCAAGACCAAAGAGGGGGACCUUCGGGCCUCUUGCCAUCGGAUGUGCCCAGAUGGGAUUAGCUUGUUGGUGGGGUAACGGCUCACCAAGGCGACGAUCCCUAGCUGGUCUGAGAGGAUGACCAGCCACACUGGAACUGAGACACGGUCCAGACUCCUACGGGAGGCAGCAGUGGGGAAUAUUGCACAAUGGGCGCAAGCCUGAUGCAGCCAUGCCGCGUGUAUGAAGAAGGCCUUCGGGUUGUAAAGUACUUUCAGCGGGGAGGAAGGGAGUAAAGUUAAUACCUUUGCUCAUUGACGUUACCCGCAGAAGAAGCACCGGCUAACUCCGUGCCAGCAGCCGCGGUAAUACGGAGGGUGCAAGCGUUAAUCGGAAUUACUGGGCGUAAAGCGCACGCAGGCGGUUUGUUAAGUCAGAUGUGAAAUCCCCGGGCUCAACCUGGGAACUGCAUCUGAUACUGGCAAGCUUGAGUCUCGUAGAGGGGGGUAGAAUUCCAGGUGUAGCGGUGAAAUGCGUAGAGAUCUGGAGGAAUACCGGUGGCGAAGGCGGCCCCCUGGACGAAGACUGACGCUCAGGUGCGAAAGCGUGGGGAGCAAACAGGAUUAGAUACCCUGGUAGUCCACGCCGUAAACGAUGUCGACUUGGAGGUUGUGCCCUUGAGGCGUGGCUUCCGGAGCUAACGCGUUAAGUCGACCGCCUGGGGAGUACGGCCGCAAGGUUAAAACUCAAAUGAAUUGACGGGGGCCCGCACAAGCGGUGGAGCAUGUGGUUUAAUUCGAUGCAACGCGAAGAACCUUACCUGGUCUUGACAUCCACGGAAGUUUUCAGAGAUGAGAAUGUGCCUUCGGGAACCGUGAGACAGGUGCUGCAUGGCUGUCGUCAGCUCGUGUUGUGAAAUGUUGGGUUAAGUCCCGCAACGAGCGCAACCCUUAUCCUUUGUUGCCAGCGGUCCGGCCGGGAACUCAAAGGAGACUGCCAGUGAUAAACUGGAGGAAGGUGGGGAUGACGUCAAGUCAUCAUGGCCCUUACGACCAGGGCUACACACGUGCUACAAUGGCGCAUACAAAGAGAAGCGACCUCGCGAGAGCAAGCGGACCUCAUAAAGUGCGUCGUAGUCCGGAUUGGAGUCUGCAACUCGACUCCAUGAAGUCGGAAUCGCUAGUAAUCGUGGAUCAGAAUGCCACGGUGAAUACGUUCCCGGGCCUUGUACACACCGCCCGUCACACCAUGGGAGUGGGUUGCAAAAGAAGUAGGUAGCUUAACCUUCGGGAGGGCGCUUACCACUUUGUGAUUCAUGACUGGGGUGAAGUCGUAACAAGGUAACCGUAGGGGAACCUGCGGUUGGAUCACC
rnacentral:rRNA from 3 species